rnacentral:lncRNA from 12 species
CUGUAUCAUAGGUGUCAAGAGACAAUGGUAGCGGCAUUUUGGUUAAAGAAACCCCUCAAUGAGAUGAGUAUUGGUUCUUUCUCUUCCACAGACAUGCUCCGUAUCUGCUUGCAUGUGCCAUUUCUCAGUGAAUUCCAUUACCUAGAAAAGAGUAGGAAAUUUCCUGCUUCUAUGUCCAUUUGGAGUCUCAGUCUUGAAAUCCAAGUCCAUACUUUCUGCAUUCUGUCUCUGUGGAGAGCUUUGUUUUUGAUACUCACCUCUCCCUCCCUCGUGUCCUCCACCUUCAUUUUCACCAUGGACAAAAAGAGAGACAUGGACCACAGUCUCCUAGUGACAUCUGGUGACUGAAUCAGGGUAAUACAAAAUAUAGGAAUAAUAAAAAUAAAGCACCUUUGUACUUUUGUUUGUUA